rnacentral:rRNA from 1 species
UAAUACGAAGGGUGCAAGCGUUACUCGGAAUUACUGGGCGUAAAGCGUGCGUAGGUGGUUUGUUAAGUCUGAUGUGAAAGCCCUGGGCUCAACCUGGGAAUGGCAUUGGAUACUGGCAGGCUAGAGUGCGGUAGAGGGUAGUGGAAUUCCCGGUGUAGCAGUGAAAUGCGUAGAGAUCGGGAGGAACAUCUGUGGCGAAGGCGACUACCUGGACCAGCACUGACACUGAGGCACGAAAGCGUGGGGAGCAAACAGG